rnacentral:lncRNA from 1 species
UUGGACGAGAUCAUACCAACCGACUUACCAACCAAAGCUCCAGUCGUCGUCUAUAAAAGGAAGCCCAAAGAGGAUCCUGAAAAAAGGUACGCCAUUAUUCUACCUCUCACGCUCCUUCAUUUGUUGAACAAGAGUUCUGACUUGAGUGUCAGAAGGUCUCCACCAGAGCAACCUUUGAUCAAGACUUUUUUACAGGUCAUACCCCCAGG